UACGAGGGGGGCAAAUGUUGUUCGGAAUUACUGGGCGUAAAGCGUAUGCAGGCGGACUUUUAAGUCGGGGGUGAAAUCCCGAGGCUCAACCUCGGAACUGCCUUCGAUACUGGAAGUCUUGAGUCCGGGAGAGGUGAGUGGAACUCCGAGUGUAGAGGUGAAAUUCGUAGAUAUUCGGAAGAACACCAGUGGCGAAGGCGGCUCACUGGCCCGGUACUGACGCUGAGAUACGAAAGCGUGGGGAGCAAACAGG
rnacentral:rRNA from 1 species